UUUAGUUUUAGCUUAAACAAGAAAAAGUUGAAAGGUGGUGGAGGGUCAUCAUUAAACAUUGAGGUAUUAGUACGUAUUCAAGAUGAUGAUAAUCAUAACACAAGGGAACCACUAAUAAAUAAUUUAGUUGAAAGCACCAUAAUAAUACUCCUAAAACUCACCCCGCCAUUCACAAGAUCUCCACCAUCGCCCCUUCUUUCCUAUUUCGUUACUAUCCUCAAAUCCGGUUCUCUCCAACCCGGAAGUCCGACCCGUAUUGGAACUUGGCAUUGUGGUGGGCGAAUUCUUGUUUAAUUCGUAACCGAUUUAAAUAGAUGUUGUUCUCAUUUCGAAAUUGAGAGUUGUAGUCAUCUAUUAUGGACUCGAUUUGGGCGAACAGUGCUAGCCCUAGUGCUUCUCAUUUGCUCUAUGCCAUCUAUUUCGCUUUUGGUUUCGUCCUUGUCAGAUUAUUCCUUGACAGAUUCAUCUUUCGUCGGGGAGAUUGACGAUGAUGUCACACAUCGUAUUGGGGCAGGGUGGAUGAAAUGGAGGCUUGCUUCCGGAGUGCUAUGUGACAAGAAGGUGCCACCACAACUUAAGGGAAAGUUCUACAAUAAUAAUACUCCUAAAACUCACCCCGCCAUUCACAAGAUCUCCACCAUCGCCCCUUCUUUCCUAUUUCGUUACUAUCCUCAAAUCCGGUUCUCUCCAACCCGGAAGUCCGACCCGUAUUGGAACUUGGCAUUGUGGUGGGCGAAUUCUUGUUUAAUUCGUAACCGAUUUAGAUAGAUGUUGUUCUCAUUUCGAAAUUGAGAGUUGUAGUCAUCUAUUAUGGACUCGAUUUGGGCGAACAGUGCUAGCCCUAGUGCUUCUCAUUUGCUCUAUGCCAUCUAUUUCGCUUUUGGUUUCGUCCUUGUCAGAUUAUUCCUUGACAGAUUCAUCUUUCGUGUAAGCUUUCUUUUUUUCUUGACAACUUCUUGUGGUGAUAACUGAUGUUUAUUUUUGGUUUGGAAAAUGUACCUCUUUAAAUGCUUCUAGCGAGCCUUGUUUUAUUGGCUCUUUAAUUAUUUAAUUUGAGUGUUGUGUACUCAAUCUUGGUUUGACUCGUGUAAUGAAAACAUGGGUCAAGAUUCUCAUUAACUACUGUAUUGGAUUGCCUAAAAAGAGCUAAGGUAAAAUGGACGUCACAUACAUUCAACCAAGAAAAACGAAUGUCCCGUUCCCUUAAUCUCCUUAUAAUAGAUCCUAGAUUGUUGUUAAUUGAUUGAAUAACUUAAUAACAAUAUGGACAUGUAUUUAAUCUCCUGAUAUGUUUGUCUGGGCGAAGCUAUUUGUAGGACA